AGAGUUAAAUAGUACGUGAAAUUGUUGAAAGGGAAACGAUUGAAGUCAGUCGUACCGAUGGGCAUUCAGCCUCAUGAGUGCGAUUAUGUUGGGUGUUGGGGAGCUUAACCGUCCUCGCGCUUGCGUAUUUGUGCUCUACGGGUGUACUUGUCCGUAUGGUAGGUUAACAUCAAUUUUGGUCGUCAUAAAAUGACGGGAGGAAUGUGGCUUCGAUCUCGUAUUGAAGUGUUAUAGCCUCUGGUAGAUGUGGUGACCGGGAUUGAGGAUUGCAACGAACCCUUCGGGGUCACCUGUCUGGCCUCUGGUGGUCUCUCUGGUGCCGAAAGCGUGCUUACGGUCAUCAGUGUUGGCUGCCAAAAGGUUAGAACGGGUUGAUUUCGUUAAGGAUGUUGACGUAAUGGCUUUAAACGACC
rnacentral:rRNA from 1 species